GACGAACGCUGGCGGCGUGCCUAAUACAUGCAAGUAGAACGCUGAAGGAGGAGCUUGCUCUUCUGGAUGAGUUGCGAACGGGUGAGUAACGCGUAGGUAACCUGCCUGGUAGCGGGGGAUAACUAUUGGAAACGAUAGCUAAUACCGCAUAAGAGUAGAUGUUGCAUGACAUUUACUUAAAAGUUGCAAUUGCAUCACUACCAGAUGGACCUGCGUUGUAUUAGCUAGUUGGGGGGGUAAAGGCUUACCAAGGCGACGAUACAUAGCCGACCUGAGAGGGGGGUCGGCCAACCUGGGACCGGGACACCGCCCAGACUUCUACGGGAGGCAGCAGUAGGGGAUCUUCGGCAAUGGACGGAAGUCUGAACGAGCCACGCCGCGUGAGGGGAGAAAGUUCUCGGAUCGUAAAGCUCUGUUGUUAGAGAAGAACGAGUGUGAGAGUGGAAAGUUCACACUGUGACGGUAUCUUAACAGAAAGGGACGGCUAACUACGUG
rnacentral:rRNA from 1 species